GCAACAAGGAAGAACCAGGUUAAGGGUAAAAGAUACAGCCCAGAUAACACAGUUAAAUGCUCUAAAAUCUUGGCAAAUCUCUCUUUGAAGUACUAACCCCACACGCCGCAGCGGAUCACCGGACAGCAGUCAGGUGGGUGUCGCGCCCCCUCCCUGCCCUCCGGACCCAGGGAGCCACUCUUCCAAAUGGGACACUGUGUGAGGAAAAAUAUUUCAUUUUCUGUGCAGGAAACAGACACGAUAUCACCAGAUCCUUCCAAGCCAGCAAUUGGAGCCUGCCCGAAAAAGAAAAGAAAAUCACACAAUUAGGCAACAAAAGUAGUUGAAAACACGCAAACAUGUGCAGGAGUCCAAAGAACUCAAACGACAGCUUUCCAGAACUUCUAAAGAGGGAUUCGGAGCAGGGGCGCCCGGCCGGCUCAGUCAGGGGAGCGUGCCACUCUUGGUCUCAGGGUGGUACAUAAAAGUUAUAAAGCCUAAUAAAUGAAAUGGACACCUGGGAAUCCAUCCCUCAACUUCAGAAAUAAAUCACCAGACACUGUUGAAGCUCGCUCACGCCCCUCCGUUCCCCAGCAGUGCUGUGAGCGUUUCCCCGCAGACCUCCCAGUGCACAGGUGUGGGAGUCCAGGGCCUUCCAGACAUGGGACUGCUGCUCUGUCAGGUGGCCCCUGCGCAUUGUUGAGGGAGAACAAAUCCAGGGUCUCCCUAGGUCCCUCUGGCUCCGGCAACUCAAUCCUUCAGGACAAGGUCCAAGGAGGACAUCGACUAUCGAAUUCACUCUGAAACGAAGAGCGUGAGACGAGCCGAGCACGCCCUGCGCCGGUCACCCGCGGACAACGCCAUCACCAGCACCGUGCUUGACUGCUGCCUUUGGUGGGUCCGUUCUGGAAAGACUCUCUGAACAGACCCAAAGGAGUUCUACAGGGCAGCCCAUCAUCUCUUCCUCUUGCCCUUCCUGUCAAAUCAAUUUCUACCUGGUGGUCCAACUGGUCAAUGUUUUCCUCCUAUUUACAGGUCAUCUGAAAAAUC